rnacentral:rRNA from 1 species
AUUGAACGCUGGCGGCAGGCCUAACACAUGCAAGUCGAGCGGUAACAGGGGGAAGCUUGCUUCUCUGCUGACGAGCGGCGGACGGGUGAGUAAUGUCUGGGGAUCUGCCUGAGGGAGGGGGAUAACCACUGGAAACGAUGGCUAAUACCGCAUAACGUCGCAAGACCAAAGUGGGGGACCGCAAGGCCUCACGCCCUGCGAUGAACCCAGAUGGGAUUAGCUAGUAGGUGGGGUAAUGGCUCACCUAGGCGACGAUCUCUAGCUGGUCUGUGUGGAUGACCAGCCACACUGUGACUGAGACACGGCCCAGGCUUCUACGGGAGGCAGGAGUGGGGAAUAUUGCACAAUGGGCGCAAGCCUGAUGCAGCCAUGCCGCGUGUGUGAAGAAGGCCUUCGGAUUGUAAAGCACUUUCAGUGAGGAGGAAGGAGGGAGCGUUAAUAGCGUUUUCUUUUGACGUUACUCACAGAAGAAGCACCGGCUAACUCCGUGCCAGCAGCCGCAGUAACAC